rnacentral:rRNA from 1 species
CCUACGGGGGGCAGCAGUGAGGAAUAUUGGUCAAUGGCCGGAAGGCUGAACCAGCCAAGCCGCGUGAGGGACGACUGUGCCAAGGGUUGUAAACCUCUUUUAUCAGGGAACAAAAUAUGCCACGUGUAGCAUGAUGCCUGUACCUUAUGAAAAAGCAUCGGCUAACUCCGUGCCAGCAGCCGCGGUAAUACGGAGGAUGCGAGCGUUAUCCGGAUUUAUUGGGUUUAAAGGGUGAGUAGGCGGUUUGUUAAGUGAGUGGUAAAACGGCGGGGCUUAACCAUGCUGGGCCGUUGAUACUGGAUGCCUCGAGAUGAGGCGAGGUAGGCGGAAUGCG